rnacentral:rRNA from 1 species
CCAGCUCCAAUAGCGUAUAUUAAAGUUGUUGCAGUUAAAAAGCUCGUAGUUGGAUUUGUGGAUGGGCCGUCCGGUUUGCUCUUUUGAGCGGUACUUGGGCAGCUCGUCCAUCCUUGGGUGGAAUCUGUGUGGCAUUAGGUUGUCGUGCAGGGGAUGCCCAUCUUUUACUGUGAAAAAAUUAGAGUGUUCAAAGCAGGCUUAUGCCGUUGAAUAUAUUAGCAUGGAAUAAUGAGAUAGGACCUUGGUACUAUUUUGUUGGUUUGCGCACCGAGGUAAUGAUUAAUAGGGACAGUUGGGGGUAUUCGUAUUCCAUUGUCAGAGGUGAAAUUCUUGGAUUUUUGGAAGACGAACUACUGCGAAAGCAUUUACCAAGGA